rnacentral:rRNA from 1 species
CUUUACUGUAACCUGGUAUUGGGUUCGGGCUUUGACUGCGCAGGAUAGGUGGGAGACUACGAAGCAAUCCUUGUGGGGAUUGUGGAGUCAACAGUGAGAUACCACUCUGUCAGAGCUAGAAUUCUAACCUUCACCCGUUAUCCGGGGAAGGAACCGUAUCAGGCGGGCAGUUUGACUGGGGCGGUCGCCUCCUAAAUGGUAACGGAGGCGCGCAAAGGUGUUCUCAGGCUGGUUGGAAAUCAGCCGCAGAGUGUAAAGGCAGAAGAACGCUUGACUGUGAGAGUGACAACUCGAGCAGGGUGGAAACACGGCCUUAGUGAUCCGACGGCUUGUGCGUGGAAAUGCCGUCGCUCAACGGAUAAAAGUUA